GCCCACUGUGCGCUAAUCUGCUCACCCCUUCUUUCUCCUGCAGUCUCCACGCACUUCCGGAGAAAGAAAGUGAGAAGAAGAGGCAGCUGCAGCAGCUUCACCUCCUGCCGCCCGCUUCAACUACAAGUAAUUCCAUCUGAUUUUGCGUCUUCUUUAGCUCAUUGGUAGGCUACAUACCCAAAAUCCCAAAACAUGGACUCUUCCAUACCUCAAAAACUCGAUGAGUGCUCACCAUCCUCAACCACCAUAAAAUUCGACCACCCAAUCCCUCUACUCCGGGGUCCUGUACCCGCCAGCUCAUCCGACGAUCCGUCAUCCCGCCCUUAUGUUCUCGCUUUCAGAAAUCUCCAAGCUUGGGCUGCCGCCUCCAAGAUAUUUGAGUUUAAAAUUAUCGAGCAGUGCGAUGGUGGGGCCAGUAUUGGGUGCGCCAUAGCAGCGUCCAACAAGUGUAAUCCCCCGUGGUGGCACAAUUUCAUAGGAGGGAAAUAU
rnacentral:misc_RNA from 1 species